CCGGCGUCUCGUCGGGGGUUUCGCCCGGGCUUCCGUCCGGGGUUUCGUCCGACGUUCUGGUCGUCGACAUCGACC
rnacentral:tRNA from 1 species